AGAGCGAACGCUGGCGGCAGGCUUAACACAUGCAAGUCGAGCGCCCGUAGCAAUACGGGAGCGGCAGACGGGAGAGUAACACGUGGGAACGCGCCCUUCGGUUCGGAAUAACUCAGGGAAACUUGAGCUAAUACCGAAUACGCCCUUACGGGGAAAGAUUUAUUGCCGAAGGAACGGCCCGCGUCGGAUUAGCUAGUUGGUGAGGUAACGGCUCACCAAGGCGACGAUCCGUAGCUGGUCUGAGAGGAUGACCAGCCUCACUGGGACUGAGACACGGCCCAGACUCCUACGGGAGGCAGCAGUGGGGAAUAUUGGACAAUGGGCGCAAGCCUGAUCCAGCCAUGCCGCGUGGAUGAUGAAGGCCUUAGGGUUGUAAAGUCCUUUUAACGGGAAGUAUAAUGACGGUACCCGUAGAAUAAGCCCGGCUAACUUCGUGCCAGCAGCCGC
rnacentral:rRNA from 1 species